ensembl:snoRNA
GACCAAUGAUGUAAAAGUUUGACUGCAGACCUUUUUAACUAUGAAAGUUGCUACACUUGAUCUGAGCUCA